CAGUAUUGAGCUGCAUUCUAAAGAGAAGAAGCGCUGCUCUCCACCAAAUGAGGAUCUUUUUUCAAGAACAAGAUGAAGCAAACAAAACCCAGGUUUCCCCCCUGCAAACUGCUGUUUCUCUUGGCUACUGUAUUUACUGGAGCAAUCAAAGAGACAAACAGAUUCUAAAUAGCCUUCACAUAUUACCCAGGAUUAAAGAGGAUUUUAUCAGCCUGAAUUCGGAGAAGCUGCUCAGUGGCUCCAGGCCUCCUACCCUUCUGGAAAAGUACCGAACACAACCAAUCCUUCAAAAAUCAAUCCUCAAGAUUUUGACAGCGUGUUCACAAAACUCUGGCCAGUUCUUCUGCCCUGGCGUCGGCCCAGGGUAUCAG